AACCGUCUCCUCUCUCUUAACUCCGAUCUCUCUCCGCCGCUGACAGGAUCUAAAAGGACGAUGAAGACCACCAGAUCUCUCUCUUUCUCUCGAUCUGCGUCGACGCCGCCCCUUACCUCGACGACGUCGCCUUUGCCUCGACGCCACAACCUCUGCUUCGUGCCGUAGUCUCUGCCUCCGUGCCGCCCCACUGCCUCGACGACGCUAGCGCCAUCUGCCUCGACGCUGAUCUACGUUGACGACAACGCCUCUGCCACACCGUCUAUCUCAGCUCGUUGACCACCGUCUGCUUCCAAAUCUUCCACAGCCUCGCACUGUCGUUGCUUUGUUAAGUUCAAUUGGUGAGGAUACAAGUGAGGGUGCCGGAGUACGGCUGGACCACAUAGAAGUCCAAGCCGCAGUGUUCGUUUUCCGCUAGGAAGUGCAGAACUGCAUAAGCUGCAUCCAUUCUACACACUGCUGAUGGGUAGAUUGCAUCCAUUCUACACACUGCUGAUGGGUAGAUUGUGUUGGUUUUGAUUGCUAGAUUGUCCAACAUGUACUGCUUGAUUGGUAGAAUGGAGUUAAUGGUUUUCGAAGUGUGAAUGUGUUUUAAGUAGAAUUGAUGUGGUUCAUUACUGUUCACAUCUAGAGCUUAAUAAUAGCUUAAUAUUGUUUCUUUCAGAAUCAACAUGUUUCCUUGUCUAGUUCGAGGGAUAUAUAUAAAUAUUGAGGGGUAGUAAUUAUUUUUAUGAGGAUCAUUAAUAUGAUUAUUGUGGUUAAUAACAAGAUUACUGGGGUCAAUAAUUUAUUAUUAGGGGUUACUGGGUGUCAGUAGCUCUAAACGUUAAACAUUGUUAUGCGCUGCUUUUUUGGGGGUUAGUAAUUUGUUAUUAGGAUUACAUAGUGUCAGUAAUUUUAUUAUUUGAUGUAUUAGAUGUUACUAAGUGUCAGUAAUUUAUUAUUAGAGGUUACUGAGUGUCAGUAAUUUGUUAUUAGAGUUACUGAGUGUUAGUAAUUUGUCAUUUAGAAAUUACUGAGUAUCAAUAAUUUGUUAUUGAAGCUUAUAGUGUUAGAAAUUUUUUCUGGCAACCAGAAUACGGAAUCCGAUGACCAAAGUCAGGCGACCGGAGUCCGGUGAUCUGAGCUUGGAGUCCGGCAAGGUUCCAACAAAGUGAUAUCUCUUAUUAACUCUUUCUCUCUAUAGGUGUUUAGAUAUAUAAGGGUAAAAUAGUUUUAAAAUUAUGAUUUUGUACUAAUCGGGUAAAUGUUAAUAUAUCUUAUGUUGAAAUUGUCACAUUUUGAAUUUUGUCAUUUAAAUAGACAAUGAAGGGUGAAAAUUUGUAUGAAAUAAUCAU